rnacentral:rRNA from 1 species
UACGGGGGGGGGCAAGCGUUGUUCGGAAUUACUGGGCGUAAAGGGCGCGUAGGCGGUCUGCUAAGUUGGAUGUGAAAACUCUGGGCUUAACCCAGAGCCUGCAUUCAAUACUGACAGGCUAGAGUUCUGGAGGGGAUAGCGGAAUUCCUGGUGUAGCGGUGAAAUGCGUAGAUAUCUGGAGGAACACCGGUGGUGAAGACGGUCUCCUGGGCCGAGGGCCGACGCUGAGGCGCGAGAGCGGUGGGAGCGAACCGG